CUACGGGGCGCAGCAGUGGGGAAUAUUGCACAAUGGGCGCAAGCCUGAUGCAGCCAUGCCGCGUGUAUGAAGAAGGCCUUCGGGUUGUAAAGUACUUUCAGCGGGGAGGAAGGGAGUAAAGUUAAUACCUUUGCUCAUUGACGUUACCCGCAGAAGAAGCACCGGCUAACUCCGUGCCAGCAGCCGCGGUAAUACGAAGGGUGCAAGCGUUAAUCGGAAUUACUGGGCGUAAAGCGCACGCAGGCGGUUUGUUAAGUCAGAUGUGAAAUCCCCGGGCUCAACCUGGGAGCUGCAUCUGAUACUGGCAAGCUUGAGUCUCGUAGAGGGGGGUAGAAUUCCAGGUGUAGCGGUGAAAUGCGUAGAGAUCUGGAGGAAUACCGGUGGCGAAGGCGGCCCCCUGGACGAAGACUGGCGCUCAGGUGCGAAAGCGUGGGGAGCAAACAGGAUUAGAUACCCCCGUAGUC
rnacentral:rRNA from 1 species